UAGGGAAUAUUGCGCAAUGGGCGAAAGCCUGACGCAGCAAUACCGCGUGGGUGAGGAAGGUCUUCGGAUUGUAAAGCCCUGUCAGGUUGGAAAAAUGGCGUGUGGUCGAAUAGGCCAUACGAUUGAUGGUACAACCAAAGGAAGCACCGGCUAACUUCGUGCCAGCAGCCGCGGUAAUACGAAGGGUGCAAGCGUUGUUCGGAUUUAUUGGGCGUAAAGCGCGCGCAGGCGGAUCAGCAAGUCAGAUGUGAAAUCUCGGGGCUUAACCCCGAAACAGCGUCUGAAACUACUGGACUAGAAUGUUGGAGAGGGAAGGGGAAUUUCGCAUGUAGGGGUAAAAUCCGUAGAUAUGCGAAGGAACACCGGGGGCGAGAGCGCCUUCCUGGCCAAAUAUUGACGCUGAGGCGCGAAAGCGUGGGGAGCAAACAGG
rnacentral:rRNA from 1 species